rnacentral:rRNA from 1 species
AAUCAACGCUGGCGGCGUGCCUCAGACAUGCAAGUCGAACGAUUAAAGCUCCCUUCGGGGAGUGCAUAAAGUGGCGCACGGGUGAGUAACACGUAAGUAAUCUGCCUUCGAGUGGGGAAUAACCCGGGGAAACCCGAGCUAAUACCGCAUAAUGCAGCGGCACCUAAUGGUGACAGUUGUUAAAGGAGCAAUCCGCUUGAAGAGGAGCUUGCGGCAGAUUAGCUUGUUGGUAAGGUAACGGCUUACCAAGGCUACGAUCUGUAUCCGGUCUAAGAGGACGGUCGGACACACUGACACUGAAUAACGGGUCAGACUCCUACGGGAGGCAGCGGUCGGGAAUUUUGGGCAAUGGGGGAAACCCUGACCCAGCAACGCCGCGUGAAGGAUGAAGUAUUUCGGUAUGUAAACUUCGAAAGAAUAGGAAGAAUUAAUGACGGUACUAUUUAUAAGGUCCGGCUAACUACGUGC